UAAACACAGACUACUUUAGGCCCGGAAGUAGGAUUCGUCACGUCACCACUGAACAACUGGGUGUGCGUUCCUGCACAAAUAUUCAUGCCCUCGGCCCACGCCCUCAGAGAAAGGAGACACCUGAGCCUAAUCAAGGUUAUGAGCAUUUAAGCCAGGAGGUGACUGCUGUUCUUCGCUGGAUCGUUGUCUGCCACGCACUUCCUGGAUUCUUCCCCGUGUGAUUCUCGAGUGGCGAGUGUUGGAGUGAGAUCCUGCUGUGUGUGGAUUGUUUGGAGAACGCGUGCCUUCCCCUUGGAUUUCCCUGGAGCCCCGUCCCUCACUCUGUUGUACAAAGAACUUCCCUGCACCUUUUUGUAUAUACACUUGGUGGACUUGUAAAUACAACUCUCUCGUGUGAAUCUGAUCCUGGAGUCCUGCAAUUGAGUCCUCUACAUACAACCGUAACAAUAACGAUCCAGCCAGCAUGGACUCAGCGGACUCAACCCCAGAAGCAAUCUUGGAACGCCACGAAUAAACGCCACACCUUCCGUGGACCCGCUAAUGCUUCUACCGGCCGCACCACUCACGACCAGUCACUUAUCCAGCCUGUCUCAGCCUGAGCGUGAGAGCAUGGACAAGUACAUCAACGAGUCACAUACAGCAGCUCCGCGUUCGAGCUUCUCCAGGGGGCCACCAUCUUCAUUAAGUUGGACCUGUGCAACGCCCACCAUCUGGUAAGAAUAAGAGAAAGGGACGAGUGGAAAACAGCCUUUAACACUCACCUCAGCCAUUUUGAAUAUCUUGUUAUGCCGUUUGGUCUCACCAAUGCUCCAGCUGUUUUUCAGGCCCUUGUGAACGACGUGCUCCAGGACUUCAUCAACCUCUUUGUCUACCUGGAUGACAUCCUCAUCUUCUCCCGCUCUGUCACCGAACACCACCGCCAUGUCAGGCAAGUUCUUCAACCCCUCUUGAGAACCGUCUCUUUGUAAAAGGGGAGAAGUGUGAGUUCCAUGUCACUACUGUUUCCUUCCUGGGCUACGUCAUCGAACAAGGUAAUCUCAAAGCUGACCCUGUUCAAGCAGUUGUUAACUGGCUGACCCCGUCUAACCGUAAGCAACUCCAAAGUUUUCUGGGAUUUGCAAACUUCUACCAACGUUUCAUCUGCGACUACAGUAAACUUGCCUUGCCACUGAAUCGUCUCAUUUUACCCAAGGUUCCUUUCUGCUGGGAUGAACCGACUCGACAGGCCUUCACUCACCUGAAAGAACGCUUUGCCUCGGCACCCAUCCUCGUCCAACACAACCUCAGCCAACAGUUCAUCGUGUAGGUGGACGCCUCAGAUGCGGCAGUGGGGCGGUGCUCUCCCAGCAACAAGGCGGUAAGCUUCAUCCAUGUACUUACUUGUCUCACGCCUCUCCCCCGCAGAGAGAAACUAUGACGUGGGAGAUCGAGAACUACUGGCCAUCAAGCUCGCCCUGGAAGAGUGGCAUCACUGGCUGGUGGGCGCUGCCCAGCUAUUUGUGACGUGGACUGACCACAAGAACUUGGAGUACAUUCGGUCGGCUAAACAACUCAACGCCAGGCAAGCCAGGUGGGCCCUGUUCAUUACCAGAUUUACCAGGUUCCAGUAAUGUCAAGCCCAACGCUCUCUCACGCCAAUUCACCGCCUCCGAAGACACAGCUCAGGACUCCCCCAUUCUUCCUCCCACGUGUGUUAUUGGGGCCCUGACCUGGGAGAUCGAGUUGGCGAUUAGAGAGGCUCAACAGACUGAACCAGAUCUCGGAACGGGCCCUCCAGGGCUACUCUUCAUCCCCUCGUCAGUAAGGUCACAAGUGCUACAUUGGGCUCAUACUGCCAAGUUCACCUGUCACCCUGGGGUUCACCGCACAAUCACCUUUCUUCAACGCUUUGCUUGGUGACCAUCUCUCGCUAAGGAUGUCCGCAAAUACACUGCCGCCUGCCCAACCUGCGCUCAGAACAAAAAUGUCCAUCAACCAUUUUUCGGUCUCCUCCAGCCUCCAAGCCGCUCCUGGUUACACAUUGCUGUUGAUUUCAUCACUGGUCUGCCCACCUCGUCUGGUAACUCAGUCAUCCUCACCAUUAUCGAUCGCUUCUCUAAAGCUGCCCACUUAGUCGCCCUCCCUAAGCUCCCCACUGCACUAGAGACCGCCUGGCUCCUGACUAACCACGUUUUUCGCCUCCAUGGAAUCCCCGCGGACAUCGUUUCAGACGGGGCCGCAGUUUACGUCACGUGUCUGGAAGGAACUCUACAACGCCAUUGGAGCUUAGGUCAGUCUCUCCUCCGGUUUCGCACAGUUAGAGGUUGAGCUCUCCGUUUCGUUGCAGGGUCCCUUCAUUCUUCACAUAUCCAUGUCGAGCAGAGUGUAAAUCCCGAGGCUGGACAGCCUUUGUACGAGCACACAUGCAUCACUUUAUUAAAGUGCAAUUC